AACGAACGCUGGCGGCAUGCCUAACACAUGCAAGUCGAACGAGACCUUCGGGUCUUUUGGCGCACGGGUGCGUAACGCGGGGGAACCUGCCCUUAGGUUCGGAAUAACUCCCCGAAAGGGGUGCUAAUACCGGUUAAUGUCUUCGGACCAAAGAUUUAUCGCCUUUGGAUGGGCCCGCGUUGGAUUAGCUAGUUGGUAGGGUAAAAGCAUACCAAGGAGACGUUCCAUAGCUGGUCUGAGAGGAUGAUAAGCCACACUGGGACUGAGACACGGACCAGAAUCGUACGGGAGGGAGCAGUGGGGAAUAUUGGGCAAUGGGCGAAAGCCUAAUAAAGCAAUGCCGCGUGAGUGAUGAAGGCCUUAGGGUUGUAAAGCUCUUUUAGCCGGGAUGAUAAUGACAGUACCGGGAGAAUAAGCACCGGCUAACUCCGUG
rnacentral:rRNA from 1 species